rnacentral:lncRNA from 1 species
GUGUUGUUCAUGGAACAGGAAACAUAAAAAUCAUCCAUUUUAUUUAUUUAUUUAUUUAUUAUUGUUAUUAUUAAUGUUGUUCUCUAAGGUAUUCUUGAUGACCCAAAUCAUCACCAGAAGCUGUGGAUGUUGAGGAUGCACCCUCUUGGCUUUUGUGGGAGGGAGUGCUUUGAGUCUUGUGCUGCCAGCUACAACUGACCCAUUUUAUUUAUUUAUUCGUUUGUUUAUUUAUUUUGAAAGGGGCUUGGGGAGCUCUAAAUCAAAAUCUCAGCCAUUUGUCAAUAAGGACCCUUACGUCAUUUGCAAUAAUAGAAGUCAGAGUGGUUCUGUGUGUGUGAUAAUAAAUAAGUGAACAAACAAAAUAAGUAUCAGUCCACUUUUGCAAGUUUACUUUACCCACUGUUGUUUCAUUUUGGUUCAUGUAGCAUUUAGAAGGAAAUAUGUGAAGAGGAUAAACCCUAAAACAAUCAAAACAUAUUGCAUGUUGUCAACUCCAAUUUGAUUCUGAAGGGUUCGUACUAUAAUAUAUCCUCUUAGGUUUAUGGGGAACAAGAGAAUCAGAGUUGUGGGGAACAAGAGAAUCAGAGUUGUCUAAGUAGAAUUCUUUGGGAAUAAGCCAUUGUUGCAAUUGGGGUCGGGGUUUCCAACAUGUUGGAGCACCUGUCUACUUGGCUUGAGAGGAAAAAGAGAAAGGAGAGGGAAAGGUAAAGAUAAAGGAUACCUAACUCUUUCUCGUGGCUUGCUUCCUAGUUUUACCUGUUGGGAACAAGUCUCCUAUUCCAGAUGAUAUGUCUUGCAUGAAGAAGGCCAAAAGACAUGAUGGUCAGGGCAGUUGGGUUACUGAUUACCUUGUUGUGAAGGACAUAAGCAUCAAUAAAAUAGUUUCUGAUACAGACUUGAUUGAAACAACUUGCCGCCUGACACUAAUCCCACACCUAAGUGGUGGAAGACUUAGGUAUACCAUGAAGCUCCAGUCGUCUUAUCUUGAAUAUAUGAAUAUAUACAUAUAUAUAUAUAUAU